UACGAAGGGGGCUAGCGUUGUUCGGAAUCACUGGGCGUAAAGGGCGCGUAGGCGGCUUUAUAAGUCGGGGGUGAAAGCCUGUGGCUCAACCACAGAAUUGCCUUCGAUACUGUAGAGCUUGAGACCGGAAGAGGUAAGUGGAACUGCGAGUGUAGAGGUGAAAUUCGUAGAUAUUCGCAAGAACACCAGUGGCGAAGGCGGCUCACUGGACCGGCAUUGACGCUGAGGUGCGAAAGCGUGGGGAGCAAACAGG
rnacentral:rRNA from 1 species